AUGAACGCUGGCGGCGUGCUUAACACAUGCAAGUCGAACGGUGAACACGGAGCUUGCUCUGUGGGAUCAGUGGCGAACGGGUGAGUAACACGUGAGCAACCUGCCCCUGACUCUGGGAUAAGCGCUGGAAACGGCGUCUAAUACUGGAUAUGUGACGUGACCGCAUGGUCUGCGUUUGGAAAGAUUUUUCGGUUGGGGAUGGGCUCGCGGCCUAUCAGCUUGUUGGUGAGGUAAUGGCUCACCAAGGCGUCGACGGGUAGCCGGCCUGAGAGGGUGACCGGCCACACUGGGAUUGAGACACGGCCCAGACUCCUACGGGAGGCAGCAGUGGGGAAUAUUGCACAAUGGGCGAAAGCCUGAUGCAGCAACGCCGCGUGAGGGAUGACGGCCUUCGGGUUGUAAACCUUUUUUAGCAGGGAAGAAGCGAAAGUGACGGUACCUGCAGAAAAAGCGCCGGCUAACUACGU
rnacentral:rRNA from 1 species